rnacentral:rRNA from 1 species
AGCGAACGCUGGCGGCAGGCCUAACACAUGCAAGUCGAGCGGCCGUAGCAAUACGGCAGCGGCAGACGGGAGAGUAACACGUGGGAACGCGCCCUUCGGUUCGGAAUAACUCAGGGAAACUUGAGCUAAUACCGGAUACGCCCUUACGGGGAAAGAUUUAUUGCCGAAGGAACGGCCCGUGUCCGAUUAGCUUGUUGGUGAGGUAACGGCUCACCAAGGCGACGAUCGGUAGCUGGUCUGAGAGGAUGACCAGCCUCACUGGGACUGAGUCACGGCCCAGACUCCUACGGGAGGCAGCAGUGGGGAAUAUUGGACAAUGGGCGCAAGCCUGAUCCAGCCAUGCCGCGUGGGUGAUGAAGGCCCUAGGGUUGUAAAGCCCUUUCAGCGGGGAAGAUAAUGACGGUACCCGCAGAAGAAGCCCCGGCUAACUUCGUGCCAGCCGCCGCGGUAAAAC